GGACAUAGCACCCUCGAUGCGACUGUUGGU
rnacentral:piRNA from 1 species